ensembl:lncRNA
CCCAGACAGUGAAAGUGACCACCCCGUGCCUUGCAGUCAGCGGGCAGGUAAGCGUGUGGUGAGCGUGUGUUAGGGGUAUGAGUGGAGGAUGCAGGUAGUUUGGUUAAUCCAGUAAUGCCAGCCCUGGACAGCUGCGAGCAUAUUAUUGUUUGAUGCGUUUCUCGAAGACCUCCUUUUCCCCCCGUAAGACUUCGACAUAUUUUCAAGCUGUUUUUUCUUUUUUUUGUUACAAUAAAAAUCCCUGGUACAGAAGAGUUUUUCAAGUGGAGAUCUUCAGUAUCAACAGGUGUUCACACCGCAGGUGGAGAAGCUCCCUUCCAGCUCUGUGUCUGUUCUGAUGGUUCUGAGGGUUAAUCGAUAACCCCAACAAAGGCUCUCCCUCUUCUACGAUGGAAUGGUCCCUGGGAUGGUCAGAGAAUCGUCCAGUACAAGGAUUUGUUUUCAGUUGUCAACGUCACGGUCUCCCGGUCAGAAACACAGAGGUAUAAACUCUGUCCCUAGCUCCUCCCCUUGGCUCCUCCCCCUUGGGCUCCUCCCCUAUCUCCUCCUCUUGGCUCCUCCCUCUGGCUCCUCCCCUUGGCUCCUCCUCUUCCUCUUCUCCACAUUCGUCCAGAGUAGAUGUGCUGUUGUUAUGUCCUUAGAGAUCUCCGUCUGACGGAGGCAAACACAGC